CGUAGGCAGCAAGCGUUGUUCGGAAUUACUGGGCGUAAAGGGUGCGUAGGCGGCUUUUUAAGUUUGGUGUGAAAUCUCCCGGCUCAACUGGGAGGGUGCGCCGAAUACUGAGAAGCUAGAGUGUGGGAGAGGAAAGUGGAAUUCCUGGUGUAGCGGUGAAAUGCGUAGAUAUCAGGAGGAACACCGGUGGUGUAAACGGCUUUCUGGACCAUAACUGACGCUGAGGCACGAAAGCGUGGGUAGCAAACAGGAUUAGAUACCCUGGUAGUCCACGCCCUAAACGAUGCAUAUUUGGUGUGGGCCAUUCAUUUGGUCUGUGCCGGAGCUAACGCGUUAAAUAUGCCGCCUGGGGAGUACAGUCGCAAGGCUG
rnacentral:rRNA from 1 species